CGUUAAAAACACUGACUAUUGCAAAUGCGUGCAAAGUUGGUGUAGAUGUUUUAAAGUUUUCUUAAAAUUUAUUACUGACACAUAAGUCGAUGCAUAAUGCAAAAAUGAAUCUCAAGGGGUUAUCUGUCUUCCUCAUCUCCAGAACCUUUCUUUUCCCUCUGUCCUGCCUCUCAAUAAACUCCGUGGAGCUCCAGCGGGUAAGGGGACUUGCUCCUGCAGCCCCGAGUCGGAUCUGCCCCUGCUGAUCCGAAGGGCCACCUUCUCUACCUACACAAAAUAAUAUCAAAAGAACACUUAAUUCGAAAAGUAUGAGAAAACUAUCUUUUUUUCUAUCUAUUUCUGUAGUUAAUUACUAAACCUUUGUCUAAACGAGGAUUAACCUUCAAGAUAUGAUCUGAAUGUAAACUAAUCUAGGAGGUUGUGGACCUAAUCCGCUCUGCCCAUGAAAUCCUAAAUGUGUAGUAAACAUGUUAACUAUUAAACUUAUUGUGAAACUAUCAUUCAAAUUUGAAUGUAGGCAGUAUUUUUUUCAUACUUCAUUUAGCAGUUCUUUGUGAAAGAUAUGCUCAUCAUGACACAUAACUAGAAGCUGAUCGUCUUUGUGGUCAUUUUAAAUAAAAUUACAGGAAACAAGAUGGUGCUGUUCAUGUUCGUUUCUCAUGCAUAGUACAAGAGCGGACAGAAUGAAGACAAUCAAAAGAAGGUUGGACUUUUUAGUAAAAGAUUCUGUCAUCUUCAGUUUGAUGCAGUACCCUUUUCCUGAUGUUGAGAGAUUUGAUAAUGAAGCAUUUGAUAGAGCUGCAGUCGUUGGAAGAGAUAAUGACAAAGCAAAGAUAAAGGACAUGAUCUUGCAAAGUAAUGCACAAAAGUUCUCAAUCAUUCCCAUUCUUGGCCUCGUGGGGUUGGGGAAAACAACUCUUGCUAGAUUAAUUUUCCUUGACCAGGGAGAAGGUUGGGAUUUUGAUCUUCGUAUCUGGAUAUCCUUAAAUAGGAAACUAAACAUAAAAAUGAUUGCUAGUGAUAUAAUCUCGCAAUGUAAUCAUAGAGAAGAAAAGCUUUUAGAUGUUCGUACGGACAUGGAGAUCCAGGAAAACUUUCAGUUGCUAAAGAGGUGUUUGCAAGAGGCACUCCAUGAAAAACAUUGUCUGAUUGUCUUGGAUGACCUUUCUAGCACAGAUAAAAACCAGUUGGAUGAAUUGAAGGAAAUGCUGAAGGGUACAAAUGAGUCUAUCAAGGUUUUAGUGACGACCUCCAGCGAAAUAACUGCAGAACUACUGCACACCAUUCCACCGUACAAGUUGUGUCCUUUAUCUGAAGACGACAGUUGGAAAAUAUUUUCUCAAAAGGCUUUUGGGAAUUGUGAUGGUGAUAACACUGACCUUAAGAAAAUCGGAAAGGAAAUAGUAAAAAGGUGUGAGGGAAUACCAUUAUUGACUCAUUCUCUUGGUUUAGUUGUACAAAAUGAAGUCACAAAUGUGUGGUUAGCUGCAAGGGAUGAAGAGAUAUGGAAACUAGAAAGAAGAGUUGCCACUAAAAUAGAAUUGUUUUCACCAUUAUAUCAAAUAUACAAUGACUUCUCCUCAACUAUUAAAUUGUGCUUUCUAUAUUUAUCCAUAUUUCCUAAAGGGUCUACAAUAGAUAAGGAAAAACUGAUCCAACAGUGGAUUGCACUCGAGAUUAUUGGAUCAAAACAUGACUCCUUGCCUCCUUAUGUGAAUGGAGAGAUGUGCAUCCAGGACUUUUUGUCAAUAUAUUUUCUCCAAGUUCGAGAUACACACUCAGUAAGUUACUACAUACUUAUUAACUUGGGAGUCAUCCUUUUCAUGUCUAGUAUGCCUUCAAGCCUUAAACUAAUACAAUCACAACUUAAAGAUUAAUGUAUACUUAAUCAUUCUUUUAAUGAUUAAUUCCAUGUUCUUGUAUGUUUUUCACUUGUGAGAUAUUUACUGAAAAUCUACUUUAAAUUUGGAACGUGUGGCGGCCAGGAAUUGGGAACGUGGUCACGUUCCUCGUUCCGGGAGCGUGGGAACAAUCUCGUUCCCGUAAUGUUAAAACCCACGUUCCCGUUCCUUGAUCCUAUCGAUCCAAGAACCUGGUUACUAACUGUGGCCUAUAAUCUAUUCGGAGUGUUAGAAUAUGCUAUACAUAAGCUAUGACCUUAGUUGUCUAGGAUUCCCUUGGGCUAGAUUAGAAACCGACUUGGAUUAGAGGUUAGAGAUAAAAUAUAACACUAUCGCAUUUGUUCAGUUUAUUUAGAGUCAAGAGUCAGUUGGGAUGUCCUAACCGAAUAAGAUUCCUCUUGUAACAGUUGGUUUUUGCUUAUAUAGCCAAUCAACCCUAGAGGUCAAUGGAAGCAAUUUAAUAUCUUGUUGUUGUGUUUCUUUUAUAAUAUCAGAGCCACUUCAUCUAUUAGUCGACGUCAGGGGUGGAUUUGGGCCCUAGGCCACCUGGGACGUGGCUCGGGUCGAGGCCUAAAAAACCAUUUAUACCUAGUGGUAUUUUAGCCCAAAAAAGCAGGCCCAAUAACCCCUUCCACAUUCCACUUCCCCUAGCGGCUGGUUCCCUCACCACAGCGCGUGUUCUACCACCGCCGCCUCCGCACUCGCCUCCGCGGAUCCACUGUUCACAGUCCGCGGCGAUGACCUGUGCCAUAUACGGUCCACGAGCACGGAUGCGCCGCGGUCGUACCAUGUGCCCCUUGCCGGUGGCUGUGGCUUCACUCCGUGGCUCGGCCGGCUCCACUCCACCAUCUCCAUGCCGCGGUGGCCACAACCCACAGUGCCGCGUCGGGCGCCAGACUCUCCUCCGAGUUUCGGCCCUCCAUGUCCUGCUGUCCACGACGCCAGGCGCCGGCUGUUCCUGCUCUCCUCGAUGUCCAACUGCCCCACACCUCUCCAUCUCCCCUCUCUGUUCAAACUCCGCAAUGCACAGUGGACAGUGUUGCAAACUGCCAGCGCAAUGGGCUCAACUGGCCAACAAUCCAAGGCCGCAGUGCACAAUGAGUGAUUCUCCUUUGUCCUUCCCUUUUCACUACUUGUGUACUAGAUUAUUAAGUGUUACAUUGUUAAUUUGUAAUCGUAUUAGAAAGCUACCUCCAAAAAGUUAAGUGGUAUGUUUUGUGCUCAAUUGUUGUAUUACCAUCUCUCAUUUAUUGCAAAUGUUUAACUUCCAAUGUGUAUGUUUAAAUUCACGUGCUAAUAUAACAAUAUUGAUGAAGCUAUUAGAGAUAAGGAAGGGCCAAAUUUCCUUUAAUUAGAUACUUUUAUCUUUUUAUUAAGUUUGUUGCAUUUUUAGGCGCUGAAUUGAUAUAAACACUAUGUUAGUCUGUGUUUGUAAUGUAUUAUGAUUUUAGCGAUAUAUUUAGCUAUACAAUAUUUUGGAAAGCUAUUUAGGGCGAUUUUCGAGUUUUAUAGAGUGGUUUGGGGCGUCAUUUUUACUGAGCUCCGCCACUGGUCGACGUCCUGAUCAAGAGCAAGUCGAUAUCAACCUCAUCGGCGACAAGAUCCCAUGGCAUCAUCUAGCUCUGUAGUACCAACGCCUCUUCUAGGGGAAAGCGUUGUUGUAAAGCUCAACAAUACCAUCUUCGCGCUCUAGAAAACACAAGUUCUCUCCAUCCUUAGGUGCACAACUACAAGGUGACCUAGAUGACACGAUUGUAGCGCCCGGUCAAAAGAUCUCCGUCAUCAGGAUGGCAAGAUGAUCGACGACGUCAACCUGGAUUACAUCAGAUGGGUCGCGCUCGAGCAGGUCCUUAGCUUCCUCAUGACAUCCAUGACUCAAGAAGUCAUGGGCCAGCUUGCCAUCUACUAAACACCCUAUGAGGUGUGGUCAAAAUUGCAGAAGACCUACGUGUUGCAGUUAAGAGCCUGAACCGUGAACACAUGGAUUACCCUGACAACUACAAGAAAAGGUAAUGUGACAAUGGCUGAAUACAAAGCCAUGAUGAAAUCUCUUGCAGAUGAGAUGACAUCCACAAAGAAGACUGUUCAUGAUGAAGAACUCUUCUCGUACAUUUUGGCGGACCUUGAUGAAGAGUACAUCCCGAUGGUCCUUGCUUUGGUGGCUCAUGUUGAGCAUGUCACUGUAGCUGAAGCCACCUCCCAACUUCUCAGUUUUGACACCAGGAUAAAUAUACUUCAUGGAGGUCAUCAAGCCUCUGCUAAUGUUGUUGGUCGAGGGCAUGGAAAUAACCGCGACUGUGGCCAUGGUUGAGGCAGAGGGCGUGGUGGUCUUGGUGGCCGUGGUGGCUACCAAGGUCCAUUGUCAUCUUCGUCUGAUGGACGUCCACAAUCUCGACACACUGAUAAGAUAUGUCAAGUCAACGACAAGGUAGGGCAUAUUACCCUCAACUGCUAGUACCGCUACGAUGAGAGUUACACCUCCAACACCAAGACUGUAGCUGCAGCCACCCAUGGUGGCUAUGGUGUCGACACCAAUUGGUACAUUGACACAACAACAAUAGAUCAUGUUAGAUCCGACCUAGACAAGCUAUCAGUCCAUAUCAACUAGCAAGUACAAGGGGACAGAUCAGAUCCUCACAGCCAGUGGGGCAUGUAUGAACAUUGACGACAUUGGUCAUGUUGUUAUUGAUACCCCUGUUAAAAAUCUUGUAUAUCAACAAUGGCUUAGAUGUUCCUCGGGCCAAAGAAUCUAGUCUCAGUCCAUUGUUUUUUAAAGACAAUCAUGUCUUACUUGAAUUUUUUCUUAUCAUUUUCUAAUUAAGGAUAUAGACACAAGUAAGGUUCUGCUUCGUGGUAGAUGUGAAAAUGGUCUCUACCCCUUACCAAGUCUCUAGUGAGGGGCUCUUCUCUGCCUUCUCUGCAUAUGCGGUUUGGUGCUCCAGACUACAGACUAAAUUUGCAAACUUGUCCAAUUCUUCUUCAAAUGAAUUUGACUGGUCUAGAGGAUGUUCCUAUGACUUAGACAAACAUAUCCAGUGGCAAUCUAACUAAUCUAAGUCAUAAAUCUUGGAUAUUUUAAUUUUACUAACUCAUAUCCCUGUUUUUAGCUCAAACUAGCUCCAAAAGAGUGAAUUGUUGAAAUUGAGCUAUCCAACCCUUCUAGAUGUGUCAAAUAUGUUCCUUGGGGUAUUUAGAACUUAUCCAAAGUAUAGAACUAUUGCUAGUUCAUAUAUUCCAAGUUUUAACCCUACACGGCUGGGUUUGAGCUAUUUCUAACUUAGAAACUCUGAAGUUGAUCUUAUGGACCUGUGAAUCAAAGACUUGGCAAACUAGUUAGUCCACAUGGUUGUGAUGGUCAUCAAGCACAAAAAAUAAUAUAAAAAAUGGUGUGGAAGCUGAACCGCUCUCUGUACGACCUCAAGCAGGCGCCGAGGGCUUUAUACAGUUGCUUCGCCUGCUACUUAGUCUUCCUUGGCUUUGUUAAGGCUAAGUCGGACACGUCCCUGUUCAUCCAUCAGGAUUGCAACGACACCAUAUACCUCCUCUACGUCGACGACAUUGUGCUCACGGGGUCCAGUGCCGCCUUCCUCCAGCGCACGAUAGCCGCCCUUCAACGCGAGUUUGCGAUAAAGGACCUGGGGCCGCUCCAUCACUUCCUUGGGGUUACCAUCGAGCGGUGGCCCCAGGGCUCUUCCUCCACCCGCGCCAGUAUGCCCUCAACAUUCAGGAGCGGGUUGGAAUGUCUGACUGCAAGCCCUGCUCCAUGCCUGUCUACACUCAGACGAAGCUCUUCGACGAUGACGCCCCCCCCGGUCAGCGACAUGACGUCCUACCAGAGCCUCAUCGGCGCCCUCCAAUACCUCAUGUUCACUCGGUCUGACAUCGUCUACGUCGUUCAGCAGGUGUGCCUUCACAUGCACACGCUGCGGGAGCCCCAUCUCACUGCUCUCAAGCGGAUUCUUUGCUACUUUCACGGCUUCAUCGACUUCGGGCUUCUCCUUCGACCCUCCCCGACUUUUGAGCUAGUGGUCUACACCUACGCCGACUGGGUUGGCUGCCUUGACACACGUCGAUCCACAUCCGGCUACGUCGUGUUUCUGGGUGUCAAUCUCAUGACCUCGUCUCUUGGUCUUCGAAGCGACAACCUUUCGCCUUCCGCUUCAGCGCUGAGGCCUAGUAUUGCGCUGUGGCCAACGGCGUGGCCGAGGCCUCUUGGCUCUGCCAGCUUAUUCAGGAGCUCCACAACCCCCCUCCUCGAGCGUUUCACCCUCGUCUACUGUGACAACAUCAGCGCGGUCUACCUCUCCACCAAUCCCGUGCAACAUCAGCACACGAAGCACGUGGAGAUCGACCUUCACUUCAUACGCGAGCGUGUCGCCGUUGGCGAUGUUCGUGUUCUCCGCGUCCCGACCACUUCACAGUUCGUCGACAUAUUCACCAAGGGACUUCCAUCUAGUGUUUUCACUUAGUUUCGAUCCAGUCUCAACAUCUGUACAAGACAGAUUUGCGACUGCGGGGGUGUUAGAGUACUGUUAGAGUUAUGUUAGGGUUUUCCUGUAUUUCCCUGUUUACCUCUACUGUAACGGGCUUUGGCCGACCUAACUCCCACUCCAGGAUUAGGGUUAGGGUUUCUAAUUCUAACACUUCUGUUACAUUUAUUUAUGUGCUAUUCAUUUUCAGGUUUAUGGAAUGGAUAACAGAGUAGUUCCUACAACAUUCUACAUUCAUAACUUUGUCCAUGAAUUUGCAAGACAUGUUGCUUGUGAUGAUAUUAUAAUUUUCGAUGGUACCAAAAUGCAAAAGGGCUGUGCAAAAAGACAAACCUUCCAAUAUGCACUCUUGACAUGUUACCGGGUGCAGUCAACAUUUUCCCACUCAACGCUGACAAGGACAAGGGCAUUGCAUAUCAUGAACUCUGAGGCGAUAACAUUUCCUCGUGAAGCAUUUGAAUUACUGAAGCACUUGCGUGUUUUGAAUCUUAGUGGAUGUUGCAUUGAAGAAUUACCAGCCUCUAUAGGUUGUCUAAAGCGUCUAAAAUAUCUUGAUGUUUCUGGUGUGCAGAUACAAACAUUGCCAUUCCCGGUGAGUAGGUUGACAAACCUUGAGGUACUGGAUCUAUCAAAAACAUGUAUGAAGGAAUUACCCUCUUUCAUUGGUAAUUUACAGAACCUAAAAUAUUUAAACAUGCAAGGUUGUGAUAAACUUCAAAACCUACCUUUAUCCCUUGGUCAUCUACAACGACUUGAGCAACUUCGACUGUCAUGCUGCAGAUGCAUUGCUAUGCUACCAGACUCUUUGUGCAACCUUAUCAAUCUUCGAAUUUUGGAUUUAUCAAGAUGCACUAUGCUGCGACACUUACCUGCUUUAUUUGGUAACUUAGUGAACUUGGAGGAUCUAAGCCUAUCUAGUUGUUUCAACCUUAAGCAGUUACCAGAAUCUUUUGGUAACCUUUAUUUUCUUAGGUUCCUGAACCUAUCAAGCUGCUAUGAACUUCAGCAGUUUCCUGAAUCUGUUACAAACCUCGAGAAACUGGAAGUUCUUAUACUCCGGAGAUGUUGUAGACUUCGAAUUCUCCCCCCCUCCUUUGCAAUGAUUAAGUACCUUCGAAUUCUUGAUCUGGCUGGCUGUGAAGCACUUCAUGUAAGUACUGAGAUGCUAACAACCAAUUUGGAGUAUCUGAACCUACAACGGUGCCUAAAUCUUCAGACUCAGCCAUACUAUUUCGAAAACUUCAAUAAGUUGAAGUUUUUGAAUCUUUCCCAUUGCCUCCCUACCGUUGAUUGCCUGGAAUCUAUUAGUUACUUGUUCAACUUAGAAUAUCUAGAUCUGUCAGAAACUUCCCUUGACAUACCUAUGUCUUUUGCAAGGCUUCAGAAGUUGCACACACUGAACCUCACUGGUUGUGCUCCAAUGCAUCCAUCCUCUAAUGUACACCAAACAUGGCCAGGUAUAUUAGCAAAAAUUACAAGUCUCAAGUCUGUGCUGACGAUGGACCCAGUAUUAGCGGCCUCUCUUCAAGGACACACCGAGUGCUCUGCUGACUAUGAUUAUCACUCACUCACAACAACCGAUGAGCUUGUUAUUAAAGAGAUCACAGGCGGUUCCCGAGGCCUUCGUAUUGCUGAGCAGUUGAAUCUGCAGAAUCGACUGGAGGUUUGUUUCCUUAAGCUGGAAUGGGUUCCUAGGUCCCAAUCAGCUCAAGAUCAACUAUUGGAAUAUACAGAUGAGGAAGUGCUGGAGAAGUUCCAACCAAAUGAGACUCUGGAGCAUUUUAUGCUAGUUAAAUAUACAGGCAAUGUGUUUCCUACAUGGAUGAUGAACAAACUGACUUCACUCCCAUACCUUGUCAAUCUUUGUUUGUUCCACCUGCAUAACUGCAGUGCUCUCCCUCCAAUUGGCCAUCUACAAAAUCUGCGUUACUUGCAUAUUAAAGAUAUGCCCAACCUCACAAAUCUAGAGAUGGGUCUUUCUGGGGGGCCUGUGUCCUUGGGGAAAUUGACUCACCUCAAACUGGAAGCACUGAAUUUAGAAGAGCUGUCUAUACUCUUGUCAGCCAACAAUGAGAGUCCCUGUUUCAUGUUUCCCAAUCUUGAGGAGUUAUCUGUUCUAUCAUGCUCUAAGCUUGUCUUCAAACCAUCUGUGCCUAAGUGUGCGAAAUAUGUAAUAAAAGAGAGUAACAUGGUUCUGUCAUGUUGGCAGCCUCUGGGGCCAUUCUCAUCUCCACCAAUAGAAAAAGUAGAGAUAAGUGGGUGUGUGAUGCCUUCUGGUUGGUUGCAAUGGCUUAGAUCCAUACAGACUCUUGAGAAAGUAGUGAUAGAUGGUGAAGCUCUUUCAUCUUUUGAGCUCCAGAAGAUAUAUGCAUUUCAAGAAGCAUCUGGUAGUAAGAUUUCAAAGGAAACUGUAAGUUCAUCUAGGACAAAUAUGUCACGUGAGUUGACCACUGAGGUAGUUGACCACUUGUCUUCCUAUUUAGUUUUGCAACAUAUAUAUGUUUUUCUUAUCAUCACUGACACUGCUAAAGAACGUUUAUAUGCUGUUAAAUAUAGGAUGGUGCCCUUAAAGCUAUUGGUAUCGACAACUCAACAAUCAAACAUAUUCCAAGGUUUAACACCACUUCUGAACUCUCAGGUUAGCUCAACAAUCUCCUCAUUCAAAUCAUGGUCUUUGAAACAGUAUUUUUUCAAAUUAACUCCCAGCAAAGGUGCUAUGACACUAAAAAUAUAAGUUUUAAUUGAAGUUAGGUUCACAUGCAUUCAAAUCAAGUUUAAAUUUUCUGUUGAUAGAAAUGAUGAUAGAUAUGUAUGCUCUAUCUCUUGCCCAUAAAAUUUAGAGCUAACAUAAACAUCCCUUAGAAGGAUCAUGUAAUAUAAAUGCCAAGUCUAAUAUAAAAUGAAAGGUUCCAUAUGAUCUUGAUCUAAAAAAACUUGAUCGGUAGGGGAAAGAUUGUCCCCACGGUAUCAUAUUAAGAAGAAGCUCAAUUAGAGUCCCGACCGAGAAAGGUGACGAAUGCUGGCCCUCGUGCACAUGAGGGUCCACCCCCUUAUAGGGCAAAUCUUUACUUAUGUUUUGAGCCCUCCCAGCCCCUACACGAGGAUUCACCCCCCAUAGAUUAGUCCAUCUUGUGUGCACACAACCAGGGAAACUAGCGAGUGACCUUUUUUAACCUCAGCCUGAAAUUCGCUCCUACCGGUUUCGAACUCAGGACCUGAGAAGUGUUACUCAGACCACCUAACCAACUCAGCUAGAGGCCCUUUCGCGUAUGAUCCUGAUCUAAUACUAGGGUAGUGUUUGGUUGCAGAGUUUAGUAGGAUGGAGCCACUCCAUCCUAGUACUAAAGGUGUUUGGUUCGAAUCUAGAGAGAACGGAGCCGCUCUAAUUUAGGAAUAUUCCCUCAAGAUGUUGCAUCUCUAGUCCUAAAAAACUACCGGACCCGAGCGCUCACGAUCGAAGGCUCCUCUCCCCGUCCCUGUAUGCUCGUCCUCUUCCUCUGCGCUCUUGCUCCUAGCACUUCCUCGUGUUUGUCCCUGGCCAUGGCGCCCGUGACCUGGCAGUCGUUCUCCUGCGCCCCGCUCACCGGUGGCCGAGCACGCGACCCGUGCGUCGUCUACACUGCUCCAUUUGCUGACCUUGCUUCUAAUCCCCAUGUGAGCAAGUGGGCAAGUCCCUGUGCUCGCUCAUGGCCUUGGCCGUUUGAAGCCAAAAAGUAGCAUGUGAAGUGUGGUCUUGAAUCUGUACCCAUGCUCCUAAUCUGAAAUUAGCUUCAACUUCUACUUGUUCACUCUAGAAGCAAACAAAAAACAGAGUGACUCUAUUCUGACUACCAAACACAAAAUAUAACCGCUCCGUCUAAGUAGGUUCUCGAACCAAACACUGCCUAUGUGUUCUAUAGUUGUGACUUCGGGAGUAUUUUACUGACUAGUCGGGUUGAUGCUCACUAACUAUAAAAACGACAAAACCAAGAGGCCAAAUCAAAAUAAAUGAUGUUUUUUGUUGCUCUCAAUAUUUCUCAAUUUAUGAUGCACAAAUAGUUAUUUUUACAUUAAAUUCAUAAAUUACUCUAAUGCUGAUGGAAUAAGUCUUGAGCAUCUAGAGGACAACAGUCGCUUUUUGACUGUUCUCUGUAGUCUCUUUAGCAUCUAGAAGACGACAAUCGUUUUUUGGGUGUCCUCUGUAGUCUCUUUAGCAUCUAGAGGACAUCAGUCACUUUUUGACUGUCCUCUAUAGUCUCUUUAGCAUCUAGAGGACAACAGUCGCUUUUUGACUGUCCUUUGUAGUCUUUUUAGCAUCUAGAGGACAAUGACAUUGUGUAGUGUUUGAGGAAAUACACAGGAAAUUGCCCCAACUCAUGGUGUCAUCCUCUUGAUGAGAGUAAGAGUUCCAUUGUUUACAAUUGGUAUCAGAGCCAAACUAUCUUGCAGCCUAAACAUCUCUUGCUUAUCUCCUUCCCACGCCUCUCCCCACACUCAGUCGGCAGCAAGAGCUCCAACUGUUCCUUCCUCUCCUGCUCAGACGAGCAGCCUUUCGUCUGAGACAACCUCUUCUACACGCAGCGACCCCUCACUAGCACACCAUGUCCCUACGCUCGGUCACUUCGAGUGCGCGGCGCCAGCAGGAGGUCAAGGUCGCCGCGGCACAAGAACGCGAGCGAGCAGCAGCAGCAGCGGCUGCAGCGACAGCGGCGAGGCAGCACGGCUGGCGGCGACGGAACUGGCAGCAGCGAGAGCGGAAGUAGAAGCAGCGGAGGCGGCGGAUGCUGCACGUGCGGCGGAGCAGAGCUCGAGGUUCAGCGCGGUAGUAGAGCUGGCAGCUCUGCUUCUGUCGUCGACAACACCGAUGAAGAGCUCAGGCUGGCGAGGGAAGCAGCGCGAGAGCAGGCGACAUAGUGGGCAGCCACGCAUCCCCAUGGGGGCGCGCGUGGCGGCAGCCCUGAUAGGCGCCGACGCGCUGACGGCACUCCGGUUGAGGGCGCACGCGGCGGCAACCCAGACGGGCGUAGACACGCCGACGGUGCUCCCGGCGGCGGCGACCGAGUCAACGGAGAUCGCGGCCUCUACAGGCGGCAUGGCUCUCCCUCCUCGGAUCGGUACCAUGGUCGCCGCAUGGCCCAGGCCAUUGUCAGGGACAUCGGUCCCAGCGGUGGGUGGCCUACCCUCACCAAGACCAACUACGUCGAGUGGGCCGCGGUGAUGAGGGUACGGCUCCAGGUUCGCCACAUGUGGGAAACAGUUCGGUAUGGCGACGUCGACUACCACGAGGCUCGACGGGCGCUGGAUGCCCUCAUUGCUGCAGUCCCGCCCGAGAUGCAGUUUUCGCUUUUGCAGAAGUGGACUGCCAAGGAGGCCUGGGACGCCAUCGCUGCGACCCGCAUCGGCAGCGACCGUGCCCGCAAGACCACACUGCAGGCACUUCGCAAGGAGUGGGAGAACCUGGCCUUCAAGCCAGUUGAGGAUGUUGAUGACUUUGCUCUCCGCCUUAACACUCUGUUGCAGAAGAUGGUGUAGUUCGGCGACGACACCUACGAUGAAGAGAUAGCUGUUGAGAAGCUCUUCCAUUGCAUCCCCGAGAAGUACAAGCAGAUUGCUCGCUCGAUCGAGUCUCUGCUAGACCUCUCCACGAUGACAAUCGAAGAGGCGAUAGGUUGUCUCAAGGUGGUCGACGGCGACGAACCACAGGCUCCCUCUGGGCCUAUCACUAUCGGCGCGAAGCUACAUCUCACUCGGGAGCAGUGGGAGGCCUGCCAGGGUGGCAAGAAGAAGGGGGAGUCCUCCUCGACACGAGGCCGCAAACGCGGCAAGCCGCGCUGUGGCAGCCCUCCCAAGUUAUCGGGCCCACGUGCACCAAUCCUUGCCUUGAUGGCCUCAGAUGGCUAUGCACGUGUACUAGGUAACUUAACAAGGCUAUCACGAGUUCAACAACUUGAACUCAUCAUCCUAAGGAUCUCCCACCAUACAUGCAUAUUACAGUAAUCACAUUCAAUACACACACUUCGGAGAUAAGAGCGAAAGACUUUAUAAAACAUUCUUCUCAUUUCUAAAACUGAAGUUUAUUACAUAGGAAGAGUUACAUUUAUUAAAAGUCCUGAUAUACUCAAAGUGCAUAACUUAUUACAAUAGCAGGAAGGUAGGAACCCUCCAAAGCUUAUACAUAAGCCUAACUAAUCUUCUUCUAGAACUGGAAACACCCUCUAGCCUCAGGAACAUCUAGAGUACUCAUCACCUACAACAACAUGGGUUCGAAAACCCUAAGUACGAAGUGUACUUUCGCAAGUCUUAUCCGAUUAAGGAAAAAUGACUCUCAAGGAUAUGCUGGUUAAAUAGGAAUCAAGGAGAAGGCUUUAGCAAGAAUCAAUUUAGAUAGUUUUGCAGAAAUAACUUACUAAAGUGAGUCCUUACUUUCAAUAUUUUAACGCCAGAUUAAAUAUUAAUAGACUCUAGUUGCAUCUAGUCUAAUUUCACCAUCUCAUCAAUACAACAUCUUUUUUAUUCAUAAUGUUUACAUCCUGACUUAGGUUGCAGGUCAGAGAUCAAGUCUUCACUCUCCGGGGAUAUAACGGCGAUCCGAAUCGAUUUACUCAGCUGAGGAUCUCUAACCACACGACAUAUGUAGCACUCAACCCUUGCAUAUGUCAACCGUUCCCAUAGAUCCUCCACAACGUGAACCGGUCCGCGCUACCCGGGAGCACAGUACUCCUCCGUCCAGCCUCUAGCCAGGAGGGUACACGCUACUCCCACCAUCUCCCACGCCCAGUGCGCGGUUGUCUUUUCACGUAUGGAAUAGUCGGGUUCAAGCUUACCCUGUCCCAUAUCCAGGGCAUGUGGCCAGUUAAGAUAGUCCUUGAUCAUACAGGCCUACAUACGCAUCCAAUCCUUAAUUAACCUGGGUGGAGCAUCACCUGUUCCUAGCCCAAGUCUCGAGUUAAGUACUUCCACCCUUAGGAUUGUUUUGUGUUCCUAAGGAUGAAAAGAGCAUUAUAGGGAACUUUGCAGUAAGAUCCCACCAUGCACCUAAUGAAAAUAUUCUUGCAGGUAGAAGCCAUCCUUCCUCAGGAUAACCCUUGAGCUAGGCAUUAUUGCAAAAGACAACCUCUAUCCACAAGAUCUAAGCAGGACUAAGUAUUUUUGUAAAUCAAAUUUUGAUACUUCAUUAAAAGUAUCUAUAAAGGCAUGGAUAUCAAGGUAGUCAAUGCAUCAAAUAGUUUCCAAGCAAUUCCUAUAAACUUAAUGCACAUUUCACUAGACUUAAGUGUAUAAAAGCCUUUUUAAAAAUACAAGGAAGGGGUAAAUGCACCGGGGCUUGCCUUAUUGCAAGAGAAGAUCCCAAAAUCCUUCUACCCAACCUUUAGUUAGAUAGCUCCAUCCACUUGAUGAGCAGGCAUUGGAGCAGACUCCUUCAAACACCACUUCUUCUAGGUGUUCUACAAGUCAAUUACAAAUACAUGUAUGCUUAUGUUAUGAUAUGAAAUGCAAACUCUCAUAAGGAGAGGUGGGGAACAUAAACACUCCUAAAUAAGUACAUGACAAGUAUACACAUACUUCUGCACAACCUAGCAUCCAAUAGAAGUGACCAAUUGAAUUCACUUAGGUAAACUAGGGAACUAAUCCAACUUAUAUCUCAUCCAAAGCUUAAAACUUCUUAAGCAAGUCCCUCACUUCACUAAACUACUAGGUGUCCUCAUUUCAUAGGUGAAAUCCUUUUCUUUUUGGGAAAUAAUUAGUUUGCUAACUAAAUCAUAUAAUAGUUCCAAACUUCGCCCAAGGGUUCAUCUUCUGAUAACAAGCUUCUCCAAACAAUUUCAUGAUUUUUGGUGCUCAACUCUUAUUUCUAAAAUUCCAAUAGUCCUUCGAAGAGCACCUUUAAUUCACUUAAUAUUUUAUAACUGCCUUAAAAAUCCUAAAUCUAACUUUACCAGAGAGCUCAUGAAUCUAGACAUCCAACAAAAUUUGUCUUGCUAUUUUUGGAUUUUUCUACAAUUUUUGGCACCAUUUCAAAUCUCUCAGAUAAAUAAUAAAGGGAAACGAUUUAAGCCUAGGCUGACUCUGGCCCACACGGCCCACUGCCAGGCCAAAGCUGGCCUGUGGCCGGGAGCCCGCGCCAGCACUUUUGCAGAGAGAACCCUCGGUAACACACUCACCUAAGUCCCUUGGUUUUUUUUUGCUUUCACAAAAACUCGGCCCCAACGCCGCCGCAUACAACUCCGGCGAACAACGAAUCAUGGUGCGACGGCGCUAACCCCUUGCGGCCACUAAUCCACCACUAGCACGUGUUUACGGCCAAGGUUAACGAAGUACUGAGCUUCACUACCCCUGCCCAGCACCUGCACACUCUGACCAUGACACCGGCAAGAUCCUCGGCCCGGUGAUCCUAAUUCCAAGGCAUACACACGGUAGAGCUUAAACAAUCGACUCAGGAAGCUUCAGUGAUUCACCUAGUUGUCGGUGCUUGCGAGGACUCGGCCGGAGAAAGCGUGAGUUGUUCGGUCGACGUAGAGGCUGCUCACGGCUCCGGUCUGCGGCGGCGCAACUCCGUUCAGAGCAGCACACAGCAGUAGAAUUAGGAAACCCAGUUCGGUGAGCUUCACUAAUUCAGGGAGAUUACCAAACAAGGCUCACCUGGGUAACAAACUUCUCGAGAUACUCUGGCCACAGCGAGGUGGAAGGAUGAUUGCUGUGGUCACCAGACAAUGGAGUGGCACUUGAUGAACUGAACAAAGCUGACUUGGAGGCUAGGGAGACGAGCUCAGGCCUGCACACACUACCACAGAGAUGCCCAAGGAACCAG
rnacentral:lncRNA from 1 species